GGAUCGUGGUGAUGGAGAAUUUGGAUUAAGGAGAGGACGUGGAGGUGGAAGAGGCAGGGGCAGAGGUGGGCGAGGAAGAGGGGGUAUGAUUGAUGGCAGGGGUAAACGAGAAUUUGAUAGACAGAGUGGAAGUGAUAAAAGUGGAAUAAAACCAGUUGACAAGAAAGAGGGUGGUGGAGCACACAACUGGGGAACAGUGAAUGAUGAUUUAGAUUUGCAGUACAACAGUGCGAAAGAUGAGGUACCAGAAAUGGAUCGAAAUGUUGAAGAAAGUACUCCUGAAACUGCAGAACCAAAGUGAGUUUGUAUUAUGUGUAGUGUUUCAUUUGUUGU